UGUGAUAACCCAGCUCAAACCCAAGCCUAGAAAUCCAUCCCCUUGCUCACUCUGUCGUCUUUCACCUUUUCUCACCAUCGUUGCUCCUUGUUUCUAUCGUAGACACCGGUAUACCAGGCACCGAUGUAUUGGCCCUUAAUUUUUUGAUAUAGGUUCAAUUUCUGGAAAUUUGCUUCUCCAUAGUUCCAUGGUAGGUUGUAAGCUUUCUCUUUGAGUUGGAUUUACUGGAUUAGUUAUUUAGAUUUUUUUAGAGUAAUUUUUAGCCAAAUUGAUUCUUUCUGUUUAAAUAUGUAUAACUUUUACCCUUUUUAAACUAAUGUUUACUCAAUUACAAGUUUAUUAUUUAAAAUCAAGGGAAUUUGAGGAUAAAAGUAGAGAUAGUGUAAUGGUUGAGCUUGAAUUUCAACCCAAAACCAACAAUUCCAACAACAAUAACACAUAAAUUGGAAAGGAAAUUCAACAAUUAGUAUAUUAAUUGCAAUAUUAAUUGGAAUAACCAAGUCGAUUACAGCAACUAAGAAGAAAUUAAAGAAGAUAAGAAACAAAUAAGAAAUAGAAAGAGUAUAGAGAGAGAUCGGAGAGAAAGGAAUUUUUUUUCACAAUCAACUGCCCUUUUCUCCUCCACCCGAUGGUUAUAAUAGAAAGUCGAAAGUGUUAAAAGGGAAAUUGAAAACUGAAGAAAAUGUGUUUAGCUUUUACUAUAUUUCAUUUGAAUCCAAAAUGACACCGUUUCCAAAUUGAGUUUUUAUGUAAAAUCGUUGGCUGUAUUUCCUUCUUCCUCUGCUCGUCUUGCUCUGGUCUUCCUCUUUUCUUCUUUCCCAAUUUCAGUUGGCCUCCUUACUUCGUCUCAUAACAUCCCUCCUCUUUAGAAUAACCUUGUCCCCAAGGUUUAAAUGAAGGAAAUUUUGUGUGUGAAUUCUGAAGUUUCCCAGGUUGCACCCUCCAAUGGUAUCUCUAUGUUUAACUCCUUGCAAUUACCUAUUUGUAACUCAUCAUUAAUAGAACGAUUGUCACUAGGAGCAUCUAGCGAAUCUCUAAAAGCAAAUUUAUCGCGCAUGAUUCGGCCUUUGAUAAUGGAUCCGUCCUUCAAUAACCUUGAA
rnacentral:lncRNA from 1 species